AUUGAACGCUGGCGGCAGGCCUAACACAUGCAAGUCGAACGGUAGCACAGAGAGCUUGCUCUCGGGUGACGAGUGGCGGACGGGUGAGUAACGUCUGGGAAACUGCCCGAUGGAGGGGGAUAACUACUGGAAACGGUAGCUAAUACCGCAUAACGUCGCAAGACCAAAGUGGGGGACCUUCGGGCCUCACACCAUCGGAUGUGCCGAGCUGGGAUUAGCUAGUAGGUGGGGUAAUGGCUCACCUAGGCGACGAUCCCUAGCUGGUCUGAGAGGAUGACCAGCCACACUGGAACUGAGACACGGUCCAGACUCCUACGGGAGGCAGCAGUGGGGAAUAUUGCACAAUGGGCGCAAGCCUGAUGCAGCCAUGCCGCGUGUAUGAAGAAGGCCUUCGGGUUGUAAAGUACUUUCAGCGGGGAGGAAGGCGGUGAAGUUAAUAGCUUCACCGAUUGACGUUACCCGCAGAAGAAGCACCGGCUAACUCCGUGCCAGCAGCCGCCGCGG
rnacentral:rRNA from 1 species